rnacentral:rRNA from 1 species
GAUGAACGCUGGCGGCGUGCCUAAUACAUGCAAGUCGAGCGAACAGACGAGGAGCUUGCUCCUCUGACGUUAGCGGCGGACGGGUGAGUAACACGUGGAUAACCUACCUAUAAGACUGGGAUAACUUCGGGAAUCCGGAGCUAAUACCGGAUAAUAUAUUGAACCGCAUGGUUCAAUAGUGAAAGACGGUUUUGCUGUCACUUAUAGAUGGAUCCGCGCCGCAUUAGCUAGUUGGUAAGGUAACGGCUUACCAAGGCGACGAUGCGUAGCCGACCUGAGAGGGUGAUCGGCCACACUGGAACUGCGACACGGUCCAGACUCCUACGGGAGGCAGCAGUAGGGAAUCUUCCGCAAAGGGCGAAAGCCUGACGGAGCAACGCCGCGUGAGUGAUGAAGGUCUUCGGAUCGUAAAACUCUGUUAUUAGGGAAGAACAAAUGUGUAAGUAACUAUGCACGUCUUGACGGUACCUAAUCAGAAAGCCACGGCUAACUACGUG